rnacentral:rRNA from 1 species
UACGUAGGUGGCGAGCGUUGUCCGGAUUUACUGGGCGUAAAGGGAGCGUAGGCGGACUUUUAAGUGAGAUGUGAAAUACUCGGGCUCAACUUGAGUGCUGCAUUUCAAACUGGAAGUCUAGAGUGCAGGAGAGGAGAAUGGAAUUCCUAGUGUAGCGGUGAAAUGCGUAGAGAUUAGGAAGAACACCAGUGGCGAAGGCGAUUCUCUGGACUGUAACUGACGCUGAGGCUCGAAAGCGUGGGGGGCAAACAGG